GAUGAACGCUAGCGGCAGGCCUAACACAUGCAAGUCGAGGGGUAACGUGAGUGCUUGCACUUGACGACGACCGGCGCACGGGUGCGUAACGCGUAUACAAUCUACCUUACACUAAGGGAUAGCCUUUGGAAACGAAGAUUAAUACCUUAUAGUCUAUUAGAGUGCAUCACUUUUCUAGUAAAGGUUACGGUGUAAGAUGAGUAUGCGUUCUAUUAGUUUGUUGGUAAGGUAACGGCUUACCAAGACUACGAUAGAUAGGGGCCCUGAGAGGGGGAUCCCCCACACUGGUACUGAGACACGGACCAG
rnacentral:rRNA from 1 species